UACGGAGGGUGCGAGCGUUAAUCGGAAUUACUGGGCGUAAAGCGCGCGUAGGCGGUUGGGUCAGUCAGCUGUGAAAGCCCCGGGCUUAACCUGGGAAUGGCAGUUGAGACGGCCCGGCUAGAGUGCGAGAGAGGACCGUGGAAUUCCCGGUGUAGCGGUGAAAUGCGUAGAGAUCGGGAAGAACAUCGAUGGCGAAGGCAGCGGUCUGGGUCGACACUGACGCUGAGGGGCGAAAGCGUGGGGAGCAAACAGG
rnacentral:rRNA from 1 species